CACAACCAGACUGAUGUAGGUCGUAGGUCUAAUACUGUCAUGGUCCAUGUUUUCAGGGCAGCACUUCAUGCAGAACAGUCCAACAGUCAUUUUGCAGGGCUCUGGCAGUGCUCCUCCUGCUCAAAGGCGGAGGUAGCGGUCCUGCUGCUGGGUUGUUGCCCUCCUACGGCCUCCUCCACGUCUCCUGAUGUACUGGCCUGUCUCCUGGUAGCGCCUCCAUGCUCUGGACACUACGCUGACAGACACAGCAAACCUUUUUGCCACAGCUCGCAUUGAUGUGCCAUCCUGGAUGAGCUGCACUACCUGAGCCGCUUGUGUGGGUUGUAGACUCCGUCUCAUGCUACCACUAGAGUGAAAGCACCGCCAGCGUUCAAAAGUGACCAAAACAUCAGCCAGGAAGCAUAGGAACUGAGAAGUGGUCUGUGGUCACCACCUGCAGAAUCACUCCUUUAUUGAGGGUGUCUUGCUAAUUGCCUUUAAUUUCCACCUUUUGUCUAUUCCAUUUGCACAACAGCAUGUGAAAUUUAUUGUCAAUCAGUGUUGCUUCCUAAGUGGACAGUUUGAUUUCACAGAAGUGUGAUUGACUUGGAGUUAUAUUGUGUUGUUUAAGUGUUCCCUUUAUUUUUUUGAGCAGUGUAUAUAUGGAUUUUCAGCCUGUUGGAGUUUUAUGCAUAGAUCAUGACAUCACAAUCUGAUCUGAUUACAGGUUGUUAUGAAUAAAACGUCACAAUAAGGUGCAAAGCAUUCAAUUUCCCUGCUUGGGGGCAAGGAGACCCACCAGCUCCUUUAAAACCCUUGACAACUACGUGCCGUUUUCAAGGGACUGUAAAACAGAACUAUCCAUUUCCAGUGACGUCAUCAGAGUUAUACAGAAAGUAACUGCAUGCUUUUUACGACCAGGAAACAUCCUUUCAGAGACAUGAGGGUAGCCUCACAAUAGCUGCCAAUAUUGGCCACCAUAAAUUGGAUAUCUGAGGGAUAUAAUUAAGCAUUAAGUAAGCAUUUCACUGUAAGGUCUACGCCUGCUGUGUUCGGCGCAUGUGACAAAUGGAAAUUUGUCAUUUGGUGUGGAGUCCAAAUUGGAGAUUUUUGGUUUCAACCGCCAUGUCUUUGUGAGACGUGGUGUGGGUGAACGGAUGAUCCCUGCAUGUGUAUUUCCCACCGUAAAGCAUGGAGGAGGUGUUAUGGUGUGGGGGUGCUUUGCUGGUGACACUAUGUGUGAUUUAUUUAGAAUUCAAGGGACACUUAACCAGCAUGGCUACCACAGCAAUAUGCCAUCCCAUCUGGUUUUGGCAUAGUGGGACUAUCAUUUGUUUUUCAACUGGACAACAGGACAAUGACCCACCUUCAGGCUGUGUAAGGGCUAUUUUACCAAGGAGAGUGAUGGAGUGCUGCAUCAGAUGACCUGGCCUCCACAAUCCCCCGACCUCAACCCAAUUGAGAUGGUUUGGCUUGAUUCGGAUCACAGAGUGAAGGAAAAGCAGCCAACAAUACUCAGCAUAUGUGGGAACUCCUUCAAGACUGUUGGAAAAGCAUUCCAGGUGAAGCUGGUUGAGAGAAUGCCACGAGUGUGCAAAGCUGUCAUCAAGGCAAAGCAAAGGGUGGCUAUUUGAAGAAUCUCAAAUAUAAAAUAUAUUUUGAUUUGUUUAAUACUUUUUUGGUUACUACUUGAUUCCAUAUGUGUUAUUUCAUAGUUGUGAUGUCUUCACUAUUAUUCUACAAUGUAGACCGGCAGUGUAUGCUUUUCAUCGUAACAGCAAAGUAAUUCAGUUUUUGAAUUACCUGUAAUAAUUCUGAAAGCCAAAAAGCUUCAAAAUCGUGGUAGAUUGUCCUAAAUCUUGUACCAUUUUUCUAGAAUGAUUUCACUCCACAGUAUUCAAAUAGCACAACACCCCACAUGUAAAUAGGUGAGGCAAAGCAAUCAUUUAGCAAACGAGUACCUUAUACGCUAACUCUACACCUAUAUAACACCUAUUCUGUUAUUUCCUUUGGCAAUUGACAGCCCCAAACACUCAUCACCUAGAGAACAACACUGAAAAAGGACACACUCUAUAACCGCGUCGGUCUAGGCAGAUUACCAUAGACUGGAUGAUCCUUUCCCAAUACUAACCGUAACCACUAGAAGUAAAAAUGUGUCGUCCAACAUAAUGUCAAAGUAAAUAGGCUUAUAACUAUUUUCCAUUUUCAACAUUUUUAUUGACAAAACCAAUCAAUGUAUUUGCAUUGUUAUGAAUAGAUCAUUUGAUCAUCUGUUUUAUGAAAAACAUUUAUAUUAAAUCAUUUUUUAUAUUUUUAAA